rnacentral:rRNA from 1 species
CCCUUAGAUGUUCUGGGCUGCACGCGUGCUACACUGAUUAUUUCAACAAGUGUUUUAACUGGAGAGUUCGCGUAAUCCUGAAAUGUUAUCGUGAUGGGAGUAGAGUAUUGUAUUUGUUAAUCUUUAACGAGGAAUUCCUAGCAAGUGUAGGUUUAUAAGUUGUUCUGAUUACGUCCCUGCCCUUUGUACACACCGCCCGUCGCUCCUACCGAUUGAAUGCUCAGGUGAGCCAUUCGGACUUUCAUCAUGCUGGUUUCCAGUUUUGAUGAAGGAAAGUCUUGCGAACCUUAUCAUUUAGAGGAAGGAGAAGUCGUAACA